GCAUCUGGUUAGUAAUAAUAUCGAGACCAUUGAAGCGGGAUCCUUCCAAAGAAUUUCCACUUUAGAAGUAUUAGACUUGAGUGAAAAUAAUAUCAAGAACAUUGAAGCUGGAGCCUUUCAAAAUAUUCCCUCUUUAAUUUCUUUAUAUCUGCGUAAGAACAAUAUUACAAAAGCCGAAGAUGGAAUUUUCCAAGAUCUUCCCAAUUUAACAAAAUUGUAAGUUGAAUUUGUAGAUAAUCUUUCGUUGCCGAUUCCUUCUAAAUAUUCAAUGUCUUCUCUUUCUUCCAUUGAACCUCUCUGUGUAUCUUUGUCCAUUUUAUUUUCUCUACCAUCGUGUGAAAGCGAACGCGUGUUGGUGUGAUUGUGAUGCUGUAUGAAUAUGAUUUCAUGAUUUGUGGAUGCGUUUGUGUGUGCGAGCCUAUCAUGUGUGUACAGUACAAUUUGCAAGUGAUUUCCUGUUGACGAGCUGUGGACCAUCUCCGAUUACCAAUAACGACUCUUGAUUCCAUAUGUGUAUUUAUAACUAUAUUACUCAUAUUUCUAAUUUUAUACAUACAUUAUCGCUUAUUAAUUCUCUUAACUUCCUUGUUUUUCCAUCUCUUUGUUUUUCAUAUGAAGUCCGUUUCUUCUUCUUCUUCGUCUCCUCCUCAUCUUCCUUCUUCUUCUUCUUCUUCUUCUUCUUCUUCUUCUUCUUCUUCUUCUUCUUCUUCUUCUUCUUCUUCUUCUUCUUCUUCUUCUUCUUCUUCUUCUUCUUCUACUUCUUCUUCUUCUUUUUCUUCUUCCUCGUGUUCUUUUUGUUACUUCUUCUCCCCGUCCUGCCCA